rnacentral:rRNA from 1 species
AUUGAACGCUGGCGGAAUGCUUUACACAUGCAAGUCGAACGGCAGCACGGACUUCGGUCUGGUGGCGAGUGGCGAACGGGUGUGUAAUGUAUCGGAACGUGCCCAGUCGUGGGGGAUAACGUAGUGAAAAUUACGCUAAUACCGCAUACGAUCUAUGGAUGAAAGCGGGGGAUCGCAAGACCUCGCGCGGUUGGAGCGGCCGAUAUCAGAUUAGGUAGUUGGUGGGGUAAAGGCCCACCAAGCCAACGAUCUGUAGCUGGUCUGAGAGGACGACCAGCCACACUGGAACUGAGACACGGUCCAGACUCCUACGGGAGGCAGCAGUGGGGAAUUUUGGACAAUGGGCGAAAGCCUGAUCCAGCCAUUCCGCGUGCAGGAUGAAGGCCCUCGGGUUGUAAACUGCUUUUGUACAGAACGAAAAGGUUUCUACUAAUACUAGGAGCUCAUGACGGUACUGUAAGAAUAAGCACCGGCUAACUACGUGCCAGCCGCCGCGGUAA